rnacentral:rRNA from 1 species
AUUGAACGCUGGCGGCAUGCCUUACACAUGCAAGUCGAACGGCAGCACGGGAGCAACCCUGGUGGCGAGUGGCGAACGGGUGAGUAAUAUAUCGGAACGUGCCCAGCCGUGGGGGAUAACGCAGCGAAAGCUGUGCUAAUACCGCAUACGAUCUAUGGAUGAAAGCGGGGGAUCGCAAGACCUCGCGCGAUUGGAGCGGCCGAUAUCGGAUUAGCGAGUUGGGUGGGUAAAGGCUCACCAAGGCGACGAUCUGUAGCUGGUCUGAGAGGACGACCAGCCACACUGGAACUGAGACACGGUCCAGACUCCUACGGGAGGCAGCAGUGGGGAAUUUUGGACAAUGGGCGAAAGCCUGAUCCAGCAAUGCCGCGUGCAGGAUGAAGGCCUUCGGGUUGUAAACUGCUUUUGUACGGAACGAAACGGUGAGCUCUAAUACAGUUUGCUAAUGACGGUACCGUAAGAAUAAGCACCGGCUAACUACGUGCCAGCCGCCGCAGUAA